UACGGAGGGGGCUAGCGUUGUUCGGAAUUACUGGGCGUAAAGCGCACGUAGGCGGCUUUGUAAGUUAGUGGUGAAAGCCCGGAGCUCAACUCCGGAAUUGCCUUUAAGACUGCAUCGCUCGAAUCAUGGAGAGGUGAGUGGAAUUCCGAGUGUAGAGGUGAAAUUCGUAGAUAUUCGGAAGAACACCAGUGGCGAAGGCGACUCACUGGACAUGUAUUGACGCUGAGGUGCGAAAGCGUGGGGAGCAAACAGG
rnacentral:rRNA from 1 species